rnacentral:rRNA from 1 species
GACGGAGGGUGCUAGCGUUGUUCGGAAUUACUGGGCGUAAAGGGCGCGUAGGCGGCCCUGUCAGUCGGGUGUGAAAGCCCGGGGCUCAACCCCGGAACGGCACCCGAGACGGCGGGGCUGGAGACCGGGAGAGGAGGGUGGAAUAGCCAGUGUAGAGGUGAAAUUCGUAGAUAUUGGCUGGAACACCGGUGGCGAAAGCGGCUCUCUGGCCCGGUUCUGACGCUGAGGCGCGAAAGCGUGGGGAGCAAACAGG